AAAUUGAAGAGUUUGAUCAUGGCUCAGAUUGAACGCUGGCGGCAGGCCUAACACAUGCAAGUCGAACGGUAACAGGAAACAGCUUGCUGUUUCGCUGACGAGUGGCGGACGGGUGAGUAAUGUCUGGGAAACUGCCUGAUGGAGGGGGAUAACUACUGGAAACGGUAGCUAAUACCGCAUAACGUCGCAAGACCAAAGAGGGGGACCUUCGGGCCUCUUGCCAUCGGAUGUGCCCAGAUGGGAUUAGCUAGUAGGUGGGGUAACGGCUCACCUAGGCGACGAUCCCUAGCUGGUCUGAGAGGAUGACCAGCCACACUGGAACUGAGACACGGUCCAGACUCCUACGGGAGGCAGCAGUGGGGAAUAUUGCACAAUGGGCGCAAGCCUGAUGCAGCCAUGCCGCGU
rnacentral:rRNA from 1 species